rnacentral:lncRNA from 1 species
AGUCACCUAUUUGCACCAGCAAGAAAUUACCAUCAAUAGGAUUAUUAUGAUCAUAAUUACAAUCAACAGCAGCAAGUACUUCAACAAGAAAUAAAAUUACAUAUUCAAAGGUUCAUCACACAAUAAAAAGUUUAACAAACAUUCAGAGGUUCAACACACAAAAAAGAGUGUAACAAACAUUCAGAGGUUCCACAUAGAUUAAGCUACUACAUCAAAUCACUUAAAAUCAUCACUCAUUCCUGUCGUUGCACCAUCUCUUCAACCACAUGAACCUUUCUUCAUUUAAAUCAAACUGGCAAAAGAUAUCCUAGUUGUAUUCAUCUCGAAACAACUUAGUAGCCAUGAAGUAUUCCUCUGUAUCUUUAGUUGCCCCACACUCCAC